rnacentral:rRNA from 1 species
GACACGGUCCAAACUCCUACGGGAGGCAGCAGUGAGGAAUAUUGGUCAAUGGGCGGGAGCCUGAACCAGCCAAGUAGCGUGAAGGACGACGGCCCUACGGGUUGUAAACUUCUUUUAUAAGGGAAUAAAGUGCGUUACGUGUAAUGUUUUGUAUGUACCUUAUGAAUAAGCAUCGGCUAAUUCCGUGCCAGCAGCCGCGGUAAUACGGAAGAUGCGAGCGUUAUCCGGAUUUAUUGGGUUUAAAGGGAGCGUAGGCGGGCUUUUAAGUCAGCGGUCAAAUGUCACGGCUCAACCGUGGCCAGCCGUUGAAACUGCAAGCCUUGAGUCUGCACAGGGCACAUGGAAUUCGUGGUGUAGCGGUGAAAUGCUUAGAUAUCACGAAGAACUCCGAUUGCGAAGGCAGCCUGCUAAGCUGCAACUGACAUUGAGGCUCGAAAGUGUGGGUAUCAAACAGGAUUAGAUACCCUGGUAGUCCACACGGUAAACGAUGAAUACUCGCUGUUUGCGAUAUACUGCAAGCGGCCAAGCGAAAGCGUUAAGUAUUCCACCUGGGGAGUACGCCGGCAACGGUGAAACUCAAAGGAAUUGACGGGGGCCCGCACAAGCGGAGGAACAUGUGGUUUAAUUCGAUGAUACGCGAGGAACCUUACCCGGGCUUGAAUUGCAGGUGCAUGAGUCAGAGACGGCUCUUUCCUUCGGGACUCCUGUGAAGGUGCUGCAUGGUUGUCGUCAGCUCGUGCCGUGAGGUGUCGGCUUAAGUGCCAUAACGAGCGCAACCCUUGUUGUCAGUUACUAACAGGUUCCGCUGAGGACUCUGACAAGACUGCCAUCGUAAGAUGUGAGGAAGGUGGGGAUGACGUCAAAUCAGCACGGCCCUUACGUCCGGGGCUACACACGUGUUACAAUGGGGGGUACAGAGGGCCGCUACCACGCGAGUGGAUGCCAAUCCCCAAAACCUCUCUCAGUUCGGACUGGAGUCUGCAACCCGACUCCACGAAGCUGGAUUCGCUAGUAAUCGCGCAUCAGCCAUGGCGCGGUGAAUACGUUCCCGGGCCUUGUACACACCGCCCGUCAAGCCAUGAAAGCCGGGGGUACCUGAAGUACGUAACCGCGAGGAGCGUCCUAGGGUAAAACUGGUGAUUGGGGCUAAGUCGUAACAAGGUAGCCGUACCGGAAGGUGCGGCUG